UGUGAGUGUGUUUGCAUAUUGAUCAGAUGCUUCAGUGCUCUGAGAGUGUUUAUAGUGCUGUGAGUUUAACACUUCAUCACUGACACACACAACAAUCUUCAUCAACAUGACCUUCAUCAUCAUCUUCAUCUGGACUCUUUCAUACUGCUUUAUACUACAAGGGUGUAAAGCUCAGAUCACAGUCACUCAGACUCCAGUGGAACCUGUCACACCAGGAGAAAAUGUUGUGAUGAGCUGUAAGUUUAGUUCUUCUCCAGUCUGCAGCCCACCCUGUGUGUCCUGGUACUUACAGAAACCUGGAGAAGCUCCUAAACUCCUGAUUUAUGGAACAAGCACGCUCCAGUCAGGAACUCCAUCUAGAUUCAGUGGCAGUGGAUCUUACAGUGAUUUCACUCUGACCAUCAGUGGAGUCCAGACUGAAGAUGCUGGACAUUAUUACUGUCUGAGUUUUCAUUGCAGAACAAAUUCUUAUGGUGGUUGUGCGGGUGAUCGUGUGUUCACACAGUGAUUGUGAGUGGUACAAAAACCUGUGUCAGUCAGAGUCACAGUGACUGAACUGAUGCUGCAGCUGAU